AAAGCCGCAUAAAUCCCCAUAUGACUGGACUUUACAGAAUCACAUAUUUUUCGUUUCGCUCCUCCCUCCACCUAAAACAAAUCACUCACGCAGUUUUUAUAUUUAGGCUUACAAGUGCAUUUCUCAGACUGAAUUCCUGUCGGGUGGCUGAUGGCAUCGUAAUAUUUUGGUGUGUCUCUUGUUCGGUUUGAAUUCGUAAAAGUCCCGAAAAUCCAAUGAGUGGCCUUUACUAUCACUGGAAUACACGACUUUAGACACUUAUUCGUUCCUCUUUUGGUCCGGAUCGUUAGACGAUUCAAGAAUGUUACUCCAUCAGCAAAAUAUGGAGCUGAUUUCGAUCCUCUAACAUUUUCACAGUGCCAUAGUUUUAACGAGUGAUAAAACGAAACUUUUCUGUUGCUCAGAAAAAGGAAGGUAUACAAUUUCCGAAUUCCAGGCGUCUGAAGAUUCCAAGAGGUGGGAAUUCGUCAAAUCUUUACCAUAUCCUUGCAAUGAGACCGUGGAGACACUGUUGCAACUAAAAUUUGAUAAAGGAGAAAGUGUCCUUUUGGGGACGACAGCAAACGGUUUCAUUGUGUGGCAUUUGGAGCAAGACACAGCUAUCGCACUAAGUCUGCCUCAUGGCGUUCGAAAUAUUUCUACUAGGAUAUUGAGCUCAAAUUCAUGUAUGCUUUCCGCUGCUCAUGAUUACGUGGUUGCUGAGUGAGGUAAAUAUUCCCUCCUUUAAUUCUCUAAAACAAUAAAAUAAAAUGCCAUAAAUGGUCUCACAUUUCUUCAUUUACAUCAUUGCCGUUCAUUUUAGAAGCGGAUGUGUCAA
rnacentral:lncRNA from 1 species